AUGAAUUUCAUAAUUAGGAUUACGUUGCACAUGAAGAAGCACUUUUCAGACCCUUACUUGUCUGAAGAACAACAUAGAAUUGGGCUACACAGGUUCCAGCAUGUUCAUCUGCAUAGGAAAAAAGUAACUAAAGAACAUGAACACAUGAAGUUAAACUGCAGAAGCGUUGAUGCCAUCCUCGACCAGUUCAACCUAGCAAGCACCUUUGGAGCUAUGAGCAAGCGCCACAGAACAUACAUACACCACAACACAAUAGGUAAUCAAGCCAAUAACAAAGCAAGAAAUCCAGAACAUAUCGGAGGCUCGAGCUCACCAUUGAUACUGAUCUUGAUCAGUGCUGUGCAGACCAUGGAAAUCAAACAAAAAAGACAGAAGAUUAAUCCUCCAAAGCACCACCAAAAAUCCAAGAUCAGUAUGGCCGCAUCAAGCGCGACCAAGGGCUCUGACGUGAGGAGGCAUGCAGUAGAGCGUUCCAUAGGUAUCGGGGCCGCGACGGCGAUGGCCGUGUCUUCUGCUUCUAAGGACGCCAGCAUGAGGAAACCCGGAGCAGAGCGGCGCAUCCGAGGUGGCCACUGUCAGGAGGACCAGGAGCAGACUAACGGUGUGCGCACAGGCUGGUUCGGCUGA
rnacentral:rRNA from 1 species